rnacentral:rRNA from 1 species
UACGUAGGGUGCAAGCGUUUGUCCGGAAUUAUUGGGCGUAAAGAGCUCGUAGGCGGUCUGUCGCGUCUGCUGUGAAAACUCAGGGCUUAACCCUGAGCUUGCAGUGGGUACGGGCAGACUAGAGUGCGGUAGGGGAGACUGGAAUUCCUGGUGUAGCGGUGAAAUGCGCAGAUAUCUGGAGGAACACCGGUGGCGAAGGCAGGUCUCUGGGCAUUAACUGACGCUGAGGAGCGAAAGCAUGGGGAGCGAACAGG